GAGGAAAGCCACCCUCCACCCCUUUAAAUCUAACCAGCAAGGCAGAUGAUUGUCACGAAAACACAGCUACCUUACUGCAACAGGAAAGCUCCCCAUGGCUCUACGUGUUUAAGCGAUGCCCUCAACAUGCACGGGCAGCCCAUCAGUACUUGAAAGCUUGGAAGGCUUGGACUGAGUGGAAGGGACACCCGUUUUAAGGCUUCAUGGCACUCGAGUGGCUGCUUCAAGAAGAUGGUUUGAAUGGAGCCUUCGGGAAAUCGUAAUGACUGACACCAGCCUAAACGAGCUGAAGAACCACAAGAAACAGCCUCUCUCUAGGAGAGUACUGAAUGACAUCAGUGUGUGUGUCAACACCUGCCUAGAAAACAUUCUGCCAUAGUCAAGAUGGGUGUUCCCUAGUCACUUAACAUUCUCAAGACAACCCCCCACAGGCAUGCCCUGAAGCCCAUCUCUCAGAGAAACACCAUCAAGGAUUAAAAGCCAAACCACAGCCAGUCUGGCGUGUCAGGGGCCGCUGCAUCUUAACUACAAGUCAAAGGCUGAGCAAAUUGAAAAAGCAAAAAUGAAGAAAGUGAUGCCCCGGAGCAAACCUCCAUCUUCCAGGCGCAAGAGACAGUUGUCUUGACAAGAACCAUCCAAACCUGUAAACAACCUAAAUGUCCUUGUGCAG
rnacentral:lncRNA from 1 species